CACUGUAAUCAAAGUAGAUAUAUCAUAUCCAUAUAAUCAUGCCAUCAAUUAUUGAUACAUAUACAUUGACAUAACAUAUUCAUGCUUAAAAAUUAUAUAAGCAAAUAACGGUGUCUCGAAUAUAGCAAAUUCAUCGAUCUCAAAUUCAAUGAUGCAAAAUCAAUGAUGCAAGAUCAACGAUAAAAUAGCAUAUAUAAUGGUGAUCAUGUACAGAG
rnacentral:lncRNA from 1 species